rnacentral:rRNA from 1 species
UAGGGAAUCUUGCGCAAUGGGCGAAAGCCUGACGCAGCGACGCCGCGUGCGGGAAGAAGGCCUUCGGGUUGUAAACCGCUUUCAGGAGGGACGAAGCCACUCGGGUUAAUAGCCCAGAGGGUGACGGUACCUCCAGAAGAAGCCCCGGCUAACUACGUGCCAGCAGCCGCGGUAAUACGUAGGGGGCAAGCGUUGUCCGGAUUCAUUGGGCGUAAAGAGCGUGUAGGCGGUCAGGUAGGUCGGUUGUGAAAACUGGAGGCUCAACCUUCAGAGGUCGACCGAAACCCCCUGGCUAGAGUCCGGGAGAGGAGAGUGGAAUUCCUGGUGUAGCGGUGAAAUGCGCAGAUAUCAGGAAGAACACCCGUGGCGAAAGCGGCUCUCUGGAACGGUACUGACGCUGAGACGCGAAAGCGUGGGGAGCGAAC